GAGAAAUACACUGGGUUAGGAUUUGAAAGUUAUAAGUGAUUGUAUCUUGCAUUUUUUCUCUUGUUUUGCCUAUAGGCAUUCUUAUUCUCUUUUCUUAUACUGUAUGAUUAUGCAAUUGUGUGUAUGCCUACUUGCUAUAACAAGUUCUUUCUUAUUGGAGGAUAAUUUAGACUUCUUUUGUAAGCAUUCUGUCGAAUUCAACUAAUCUUUCAUAUAGGAAACUUAGGUUUUAAGAUGCCUUUGAAUGCCGCCAGUGCCUUCUCAUGCCUCUAUGCUAUUUUAGUCUUCUAUUGACAAACAUUCAUCCUAUACUUUCUCUUUGUUCAUUUUGUGAUAUGUGCACCUUUAUAGCCUUUUUU
rnacentral:misc_RNA from 1 species